GUUUUUUAUUUGAUGAUGGAAAAUAGAUAAUGAAAAACGGAAAAUGGAUCCGUCAUCCGUUAUUCGAUUUUAACGUAAUGAUUUUUUUUUUUUGGGGAACCACGAGCGGAGCAACUACUUCCGGUAGUAUACAUUUAACCGUGCUUUAAACAUGGAGAGUGACACGUUCGUGCUCUUUCGGGGCGGUAAACGUAUUACCCUACAGGAUGGCGAUUUGUCUGUGGAAAACAUCUGCAGAGUAUUUCAGGUCCGUCGCAGUAGUCUGUACCUUACAGACGAUGCAAACAGAGCCAUUAUGCCUGAGCCAGCAGGACAUUUUUCCACCUUGUAUAUGUCCAACCGCGGCCAUUACGAGGUCCACGGAGAGCCAGAGCAAAGUCAGUCACCUGCAGGCAGAGCACCAGCACCUUCACCCACUCCUCCGCCCACUUUCCUCUUCAGCUUCAUGCACCAAGCCUCAUCUUCUUCUACUGGGAGUGCAGCUUCACAUGGAGCUCCACGAGCUCGUGGAAGGUUUCCUCAAAAAUCAUUUCACAGGUCAAUCAGUAUUGGUGAAAUGGUGAACGGCAAGAUCAGUACCUCCAUGGCGGUUGACAUUUGCUUUUUGGAAGAUGAGGCAACUGUUGAGGGAAUAACCACAAAGGUGCAGGGUGCCUUGGAUUCCGAUGAGCC
rnacentral:lncRNA from 1 species